rnacentral:tRNA from 1 species
GCCGAAGUGGCGGAAUCGGUAGACGCGCACGAUUCAGGGUCGUGUGUCCGCGAGGACAUGUGGGUUCAAGUCCCACCUUCGGCACCA